rnacentral:rRNA from 1 species
GCCCUUGAGAAAAUCAAAGGUGUAACCUGCCCAAUGAUCUUUAAUUUAAAAAUAAUAAAAAUAUUUAAAAAAGAUUUAAAGGACGCGGUAACCUUGACUGUGAUAAUGUAGCAUAAUCACUCGCCAUUUAAUUGAUGGAUAGUAUGAAUGGUUAAACGAAUAUUACACUAUCUAAAAAAUAGAUCUCAUAAAAAUGAAAUAAUAGUUAAGAUGCUAUUUAAAAUUGUAAGACGAAAAGACCCUAUAGAGCUUAACUAUAAUCUCUUGAAAAAAAAAUAAAAAUAUUUUUAAAAAGGAGAGAUUGGUAGUUUAGUUGGGGCGACUAUUUUUUAAAAAUAACAAAAAUAAGCAACAUUAAUAAAAAAAUUUACUGUAUAAUAAACAAAUUUAACAGUUACUAAAGUAGGCUAUAAUGACCCAUUAUUACUAUAUAAUAAGAAUAAUGAUUAAUGAAUAAAAGCUACCUUAGGGAUAACAGGAUAAUUUUAUCUAAGAGUUCUUAUCAAAGAUAAAGUUUGUCACCUCUAUGUUGAAUUAAGAUAUCCUAAUAGUGCAGAAGCUAUUAAAGGUAGGUCUGUUCGACCUUUAAAAUCUUAC